rnacentral:rRNA from 1 species
AACGAACGCUGGCGGCGUGCUUAACACAUGCAAGUCGAGCGAGAACGGGUCCCUCGGGGCCUUAGUACAGCGGCGCACGGGUGAGUAACACGUAGGUGAUCUACCUCUCGCUGGGGAAUAACUCCGGGAAACCGAAGCUAAUUCCGCAUGCGUCUUCGGGGCUGCGGCCCUGAAGAGAAAGGUGGCCUCUUCAUGAAAGCUAUCGGCGAGAGAUGAGCCUGCGUCCCAUCAGCUAGUUGGUAGGGUAACGGCCUACCAAGGCUACGACGGGUAGCUGAUCUGAGAGGAUGAUCAGCCACACUGGAACUGAGACACGGUCCAGACUCCUACGGGAGGCAGCAGUGGGGAAUAUUGCGCAAUGGGCGAAAGCUUGACGCAGCAACGCCGCGUGAGUGAUGAAGGCCUUCGGGUCGUAAAGCUCUGUCAGGAGGAGCGAACACCCGGCAGGAACAAUACCCUGUCGGUUUGACGGUACCUCCAGAGGAAGCACCGGCUAACUCCGUGCCAGCAGCCGCGGUAAUACGGAGGGUGCUAGCGUUGUUCGGAAUUACUGGGCGUAAAGCGCGUGUAGGCGGAUCCAGAAGUCGGGUGUGAAAGCCCUGGGCUCAACCCAGGAAGUGCGCCCGAAACCAUGGGUCUUGAGGUCCGGAGGGGAUCGGGGAAUUCCCAGUGUAGAGGUGAAAUUCGUAGAUAUUGGGAGGAACACCGGUGGCGAAGGCGCCGAUCUGGACGGAUUCUGACGCUGAGACGCGAAAGCGUGGGUAGCAAACA